UCGCAACCACAAUGGUGGCACUCUGCCG
rnacentral:sRNA from 1 species